UUCUAAUGGUCUGCAUUUGCAUAUCAAAGGUUGCCGGCCUGGCUUAAGAGCCGGGGCUUUACUGGAAACUUUUCUGGAGAGGCUUUAAAAAACGAAAACUUCCAAGGACCCGUUUUCCUCUCUGUUUGCUAAAAUAAUUUCUUAAUAACUCCUACAACACUAAUAGAGGUUUGUUGGAGAGAAGGACAUCAAAGACCCCCGAAGGGACUCACCACAAGAGAAGGGGAAGUCUUGACGGGUGAUUAGAGUCUAAUACCAAGCCCUACGUUGUGGAUGGAUGAAAUUUCUGAAACAGUGCAUGUGGUCCAGGCUGGAGAUCUUUUCUAAUUGAAGACUACUCCACUGGUCAGUGGCCUCUACAAACCUGAUCAUCCUGAGCUGGACAUAGUACUCUGGACCUGUUCCUACCAUAGAGAUCUGGACAAAGUGAUGUCACAUAGGAAGUUUACUUGCCUUGGAAACAUGGGAGCUAUCACUGAUUUUACAGAAUUGCAUUAUAGUCCAUCAACUUUCCAGCAGGAGUCAACAAGUUUUCCUAUGUAUGUGUGUCAAGAACUUCCAUAAACUAAUUUAUUUUCAGUAAGAUGGAAAAAAUACUCAUGGAUCUCCUGCUGCUGCUUCAAGAAGGCUAUGGGCAGAUUCUGUUUGAAGGAGUAUAUAGCAUGACUUUUUUCAGUCCCAGUCAUGUAAGUGCUGCCAUAUUCCUGACAGGAAAGAAGAGGUGCCAGCAGAAUCACUGGGAGUUCUCCUUCUUACAAAGCAGCAGGAGCUGCCUGGAAGGUUCCCAAUCACUUUCUCUUGACCAGAUCUCCUUGUCUCCAUUUAUGCUAAUUUCUCACAUUCUUGGAUGCUGCUUCCAGACCAUAUUCCUAAAAUAUGAAUCAAUAAUAUUCCUCCUCUGCUCAAAAACCUACCAUGGCCUCUUAUUGCUGAUUGCUUAAAGUCUAUCCUUCCAGCAUGCAACCAGAGAAUAAAUUCAUUAGGAAAUGUAGCCCCAUUCUCUUGGUAAUACUUAUUUUCCUCUUUUCUAUACCUUGAACCCUCUGCUUUUGUCUUGUUUGGUACCAGUGUUCUACUUUUGUUGGUGGCGUGUUCUCUCCUUGAACUGCCUUUUCUUCUCCCUUUUGCCUACUCAAAUCUCUGCCUUUCCUCCAGCCCUCAUCCAUCCCUGAGGCCUUCUCUAUCUUCCUAUCAUUCAGAUAAAAAGGCCUUUUCUGCAAGAAAGGAACAAAGCCAUACAAAGGCAGAAGGGGAUUUAGGGGUGGGAAAGUUUACCCCUCACCUUUAAUUCCAUGUCGUCUAAAUAUAUAAUUGCCACAUUUCAUUCCAUUUUAACUCCACCUAGUAGAUGUUCCGUGGCAUCUUAUUUUUAAUUCUUUCAUUUAUUUUUUGAAACAGAAAGUUACCACUUUCUUCCAAAGUUGUCAGUCCUCCUCUGUGUUCUGUCUCUUUGAUGCUACCUUAUACUCAGGAUGCACAAACCUGAAAUUCCAAACAUCGUCCUUCAGAAUUCUUUUCUCUCCUUUGCUGCACAUCUGGUCUUCAAGAACUAUAGUUUCUAAUGUUAACAUCUUCUCCUCCUCUUCACUGUUGCUCCCUUAGUUGAACCUUCACCGUUUCCCUGAAGAUUUUCUGUAGCAGUCUCCCAAUAGAUCCCAUAUGCUUAAUUCAUUUUCCACGUUUGUCUUUGUUCUGAAGGGAAAAUAUGAUCAUUUAAGGAAAAAAUUCCGGAGUGGCACUCCAUUGCUUUUAGUGUACAAUUGAAAUUUUGUAGUUGAACUGCCACGUUUUCUCUGAUCUGUCUUGCUUCUUUCCUCGCAUCCUUUCUUCCUCUUACUGUCAGUCUUAUCCUUCCCCACCACUUGACCCUGAACAUGACAAGGUCCUUUAUGACCCACAUCACUCUCUCUACCUGCAAUGUGUUACCCCAUCUUUUCUCCUCAUCCCCUAUUCAAUCACCAAAAUUCCUUAAAAGAAUCAUCACAACUGAGGAAGUUUCCAGAACAUCCAGAUCUAGGUAACAUUCUAUUUCUCUGUGUGUACUUAAUCCUAUCACAGCACUUAAUCGUCACUUUUAAUGUUGGUCUGCCCAAAUAAAGUCUGAACAUUGUGAAGGCAGAGCACCUAGCAUCUAGCACAAGACCUGGCGAAAAUGAAGUCCUCGUAAAUAAUUAUGAAUGCAUGAAUAAAUAGCAUGUAAUCCAAAG
rnacentral:lncRNA from 10 species